rnacentral:rRNA from 1 species
UACAGAGGUCUCAAGCGUUGCUCGGAAUCACUGGGCGUAAAGCGCACGUAGGCGGAUCUUUAAGUCAGGGGUGAAAUCCUGGAGCUCAACUCCAGAACUGCCUUUGAUACUGGGGAUCUCGAGUCCGGGAGAGGUGAGUGGAACUCCGAGUGUAGAGGUGAAAUUCGUAGAUAUUCGGAAGAACACCAGUGGCGAAGGCGGCUCACUGGCCCGGUACUGACGCUGAGGUGCGAAAGCGUGGGGAGCAAACAGG